rnacentral:ncRNA from 1 species
CAUUUUUCAGAAAGAAUUGGACCUCGAGACCCAGAUCAGGAAGAAAAUGGACAGAAGAAGAAGGGUGAAAAAGUUAAUCUAGUAAUUAGCAACUUGUGAGCUGAACGGGUAUUGGCCACACAGUGAUGAACCCGCACUGGGCCCUUCAACUUCG